rnacentral:rRNA from 1 species
UACGGAGGGUGCGAGCGUUUGUCCGGAAUCACUGGGCGUAAAGGGCGCGUAGGCGGCUCAUGAAGGCUGUGGUGAAAGUCCGGGGCUCAACCUCGGAUCGGCCGUGGCGACUCGUGGGCUGGAGCACUGUAGAGGCGGGUGGAAUUCCGGGUGUAGCGGUGGAAUGCGUAGAGAUCCGGAAGAACACCAGUGGCGAAGGCGGCCCGCUGGGCAGUGGCUGACGCUGAAGCGCGACAGCGUGGGGAGCAAACAGG